rnacentral:rRNA from 1 species
CCUACGGGAGGCAGCAGUGGGGAAUAUUGCACAAUGGGGGAAACCCUGAUGCAGCGACGCCGCGUGAGUGAAGAAGUAAUUCGUUAUGUAAAGCUCUAUCAGUAGGGAAGAAAAUGACGGUACCUGAGUAAGAAGCCCCGGCUAACUCCGUGCCCGCAGCCGCGGUAAUACGUAGGGGGGAAGCGUUAUCCGGGUUUACUGGGGGUAAGGGGAGCGUAGACGGCAGUGAAAGUCUGGAGUGAAAGGCGGGGGCUCAACCCCCGGGCUGCUCUGGAAACUGUACGGCUGGAGUGCAGGAGAGGUUAGUGGAAUUCCUAGUGUAGCGGUGGAAUGCGUAGAUAUUAGGAGGAACACCAGUGGCGAAGGCGGCUAACUGGACUGUAACUGACGUUGAGGCUCGAAAGCGUGGGGAGCAAACAGGAUUAGAUACCCUAGUAGUC